GAUGAACGCUGGCGGCGUGCCUAAUACAUGCAAGUCGAGCGAAUGGAUUAAGAGCUUGCUCUUAUGAAGUUAGCGGCGGACGGGUGAGUAACACGUGGGUAACCUGCCCAUAAGACUGGGAUAACUCCGGGAAACCGGGGCUAAUACCGGAUAACAUUUUGAACCGCAUGGUUCGAAAUUGAAAGGCGGCUUCGGCUGUCACUUAUGGAUGGACUCGCGUCGCAUUAGCUAGUUGGUGAGGUAACGGCUCACCAAUGCAACGAUGCGUAGCCGACCUGAGAGGGUGAUCGGCCACACUGGGACUGAGACACGGCCCAGACUCCUACGGGAGGCAGCAGUAGGGAAUCUUCCGCAAUGGACGAAAGUCUGACGGAGCAACGCCGCGUGAGUGAUGAAGGCUUUCGGGUCGUAAAACUCUGUUGUUAGGGAAGAACAAGUGCUAGUUGAAUAAGCUGGCACCUUGACGGUACCUAACCAGAAAGCCACGGCUAACUACGUGCCAGCCGCCGCUGUAA
rnacentral:rRNA from 1 species